rnacentral:rRNA from 1 species
AUUGAACGCUGGCGGCAUGCUUUACACAUGCAAGUCGAACGGUAACAGGUUAAGCUGACGAGUGGCGAACGGGUGAGUAAUGCAUCGGAACGUGCCCGAUCGUGGGGGAUAACGCAGCGAAAGCUGCGCUAAUACCGCAUACGAUCUGAGGAUGAAAGCGGGGGACCGUAAGGCCUCGCGCGAUCGGAGCGGCCGAUGUCAGAUUAGGUAGUUGGUGGGGUAAAGGCCCACCAAGCCGACGAUCUGUAGCUGGUCUGAGAGGACGACCAGCCACACUGGGACUGAGACACGGCCCAGACUCCUACGGGAGGCAGCAGUGGGGAAUUUUGGACAAUGGGCGAAAGCCUGAUCCAGCAAUGCCGCGUGCAGGAAGAAGGCCUUCGGGUUGUAAACUGCUUUUGUACGGAGCGAAAAGGUCCUUUCUAAUACAAGGGGCUCAUGACGGUACCGUAAGAAUAAACACCGGCUAACUACGUGCCAGCAGCCGCGGUAAAAC